GAUGAACGCUGGCGGCGUGCUUAAUACAUGCAAGUCGAACGAAUGGAUGUCUAGCUUGCUAGACUGAAGUUAGUGGCGAACGGGUGAGUAAUACAUAGGCAAUCUGCCCUGAAGUGUGGGAUAGCUAUUGGAAACGAUAAUUAAUACCGCAUAGGUAGUAAGAAGGCAUCUUCCUACUAUUAAAGAUGCGUCUGCAUCGCUGCAGGAUGAGCUUAUGGUGUAUUAGCUAGUUGGUGAGAUAAAAGCCCACCAAGGCUAUGAUACAUAGCUGGUCUGAGAGGAUGAACAGCCACAUUGGGACUGAGACACGGCCCAGACUCCUACGGGAGGCAGCAGUAAGGAAUUUUCGGCAAUGGGGGCGAACCCUGACCGAGCAACGCCGCGUGAGUGAUGAAGGUCUUCGGAUCGUAAAGCUCUGUCUUUAGGGACGAUAAUGACGGUACCUAAGGAGGAAGCCACGGCUAACUACGUG
rnacentral:rRNA from 1 species